UACGUAGGGUGCGAGCGUUAAUCGGAAUUACUGGGCGUAAAGCGUACGCAGGCGGCUUUGUAAGACAGGUGUGAAAUCCCCGGGCUCAACCUGGGAACUGCAUUUGUGACUGCAAAGCUAGAGUCUGUCAGAGGGGGGUGGAAUUCCACGUGUAGCAGUGAAAUGCGUAGAGAUGUGGAGGAACACCGAUGGCGAAGGCAGCCCCCUGGGAUGAGACUGACGCUCAUGUACGAAAGCGUGGGGAGCAAACAGG
rnacentral:rRNA from 1 species